UAUGUUUAUAAAGCGGCAGGCCGAAAGCUUUUCGGCGCCAUUUCAUUGUAGAACUGUUAGGUUUUUAUUUAGUGGAAACAUAACAGUGGACAAAUUUGGAACAUAAAAAGAAUCCGGAUCCAUCCUGAUGGAAACGGCCGUUAACCCGCCCCUUGACAGCAUCUCUCUGGGAGUGGUGGGGCUGUCUGGCGGCGGGAUGGAGCACCAUGUCUCGGGCCCAGGCAAGCGCAUGCGGAAGCCCUCGCUGCUGUAUGAAGGCUUUGAGAGCCCCCAGUUGCCACAUGCGCCACCCCCUCCCCCUGUCCAGCCCCCCGUCAGGGACCCCGGCCGGCAAGGUUGCAUGACCAACCAGCUGCAGUUCCUCCAGAAGGCUAUGAUCAAGUCCCUGUGGAGACACCAUUUUGCCUGGCCUUUCCAUGAGCCAGUGGAUGCCUUCAGACUCAACCUCCCAGAUUAUCACAAGAUCAUCAAGCAGCCCAUGGACAUGGGGACCAUCAAGAAGCGGCUGGAGAACAACUACUACCGCAGCGCCAGUGAGUGCAUGCAGGACUUCAACACCAUGUUCACCAACUGUUACAUCUACAACAAGCCCACAGAUGACAUAGUGCUGAUGGCCCAGUCCCUGGAGAAGGUGUUCCUGCAGAAGGUAGCCCAGAUGCCACAGGAGGAGAUUGAGCUGCCCCCUCCUGCCCCCAGGGGCAAGCCUGGCAAAGGAGGCCGCAAGUCCAACGUGUGGAAAGCUCACCAGGUCCCUGCGGUGUCCCAGUCAGCAUACUCCCCCUCCUCCUCUGACACGGGUGACUCCGACACCCCCCCCCCCAGACCAUGCUGCCCAAGAGUCUGCCCCCCCACACAGCUGUUGAGCCUGCCCCCCACACUGCCCACCGCUAAGAAGAAGGGAGUGAAGCGGAAGGCGGACACCACCACUCCCUCCAACAUGAUGACCAUGCCCCUGGCCGUAGGAGGGGGUCGGAUUGUGGGCCUGGGAAAAGGAGGCCACGGGCAAGGCCUGAGCCAAGACCCCUCCCCUCUCUCCCUCACCUCCCUGGGGGACAUGGACCCCCCUCCCAGCCUGGUUAGAGGACCCAUUGGCCCAGGAGGCCCCGUUCUGCUCCAGCCAAUGAUGGCCGGAGGCGGGAAGACCUUGGCUCGGCGCGGGGGCAGUGGACGCCCCAUCAAGCCCCCCAAAAAGGAUCUGCCGGACUCUGUGCAGCCCAAGGCGCCGCGGCGGGCCAAGUUGAGCCAACAGCUGCGUUACUGUAACAGUGUACUGAAGGAUCUGCUGUCUAAGAAACAUGCGGCCUACGCCUGGCCCUUCUACAAGCCAGUGGACGCCUCGGCCCUGGGCCUGCACGACUAUCACGACAUAAUCAAGUGCCCCAUGGACCUCAGCAACAUCAAGAGGAGGAUGGACAGUCGGGAGUACAGGGAUUCGCAACAGUUUUCCGCUGACGUCCGACUCAUGUUCUCCAACUGCUACAAAUACAACCCCCCUGACCAUGACGUAGUGGGCAUGGCCCGCAAACUGCAGGACGUGUUUGAGUUCCGCUACGCCAAGAUGCCGGACGAGCCCCUCCAGCAGGCUCCCCCCAAGUCCCGUGGCAUGGGCGGCGGGAUGGGCACUCACGCUCAUGGCGGAGGUGACUCCUCGUCUUCGUCAUCGUCGUCGUCCUCCUCGUCAGAGAGCGAGCCCAGCAGCGAGAGCGAGAGCAGCCCCAGCUCGGACAGCGAGGAGGAGCGAGCCACCGCCUGGCCGAGUUACAGGACCAGGUGUGUACACAGCUCCGAGCCGUACACGAGCAGCUGGCAGCCCUCUCCCAGGGUCCAAUUGUCAAGAACAAGAAGAAGAGAGAGAAGAAGGACAAGAAGGAGAAAAAGAAGAAGAAGAAGCCGGAGAAGCGAAGUCGAGGACGGCCCAGUGCGGAGGUAGGGGGUGAGGACUGGGAGAUGCAGAUGAGGACUCCGAAGAGUAAAUCCAGUAGCAGGAGCUCAGCUCCCGCCUCCUCACAGGGCAAGAGAGGCCCCGGCAAGAAGAAGGGAAGCAAAAACACAAAGAAGUCCCAGGCUGCUACCAUGCCCUACUACGCUUCGCCUACUUUCUCCAUGCUGCCCCACUACGACUCCGAGGAAGAGGAGGAGACGUCUCCCAUGUCGUACGACGAGAAGCGCCAGCUGAGCCUGGACAUCAACAAGCUGCCCGGCGAAAAGCUGGGCCGCGUCGUCCACAUCAUCCAGUCCCGCGAGCCCUCGCUGCGCGACACCAACCCAGAGGAAAUCGAAAUUGACUUUGAGACGCUCAAGCCGUCGACGCUGCGCGAGCUGGAGCGCUACGUCAUGACGUGCCUGAGGAAGAAGCCCCGUAAGCCCUAUGUGAAGAAAGGGGGCCCCGGCAAGUCCAGAGAAGAACUGACCCUGGAGAAGAAGAGGGAGCUGGAGAGGAGGCUGCAGGAUGUCAGCGGACAGCUCAACUCUGGCAAGAAACCCCAGAAACCCAAGGCGGAGAAGCUCAGCGGCGUGGAGCCCCAUGCCCAGCCCUCCCGCCUCAGUGGCAGCAGCUCCAGCUCAGACUCUUCCUCCUCCUCGUCAUCCUCCUCCUCUGACACCAGUGAAUCAGACUCUGGUUGAUGAGACAGUGGGAGAGGGAGGGAACCCCCCAUAGAGCUCAGGGACAUGCAGCAGCCCCAGGACGAGGUCUCCUGGGACGGUCUAGGGAGGAAGAAGAGUGCCCCUCCCUCGAAUGGCACCCCAGCACGAACACUCAAGACGAUUUAUGAUGAUGGUGGGAUUUGUAUGCAGGGUGGAGGACGCGUGAAGGUCACUAAGGAUACUCAAGACCAGAAACAUAGAGAUCAGCCAGGUUCAAGAACAGCUGCCAUGUUAGCGCCUUUAUUCUCAAUGUUGGUAAUGUAACAAUACGAGAGCGCCUCUGACCGUUCUCAAUGAAAUGACCAUUCAGGAUAAUGUAUAUCCAAGUCUUUACUGGUGUCAAAAAAUUGCAUAUCUGCUUUCGCUGAACAUCUUCAUAGGUUUUGAAACUAUCAGGAAUCAACAGCACAGCGGAGAAGCGUCUAUCACUUAGCAACAGCUAUGGAGGAGGAAGUGGCUCUCAGAACGUUCCGACAGAAACCGCAUCGGCCCAACUCUUUGACUCUGCUCAAGACCCCCCAACACAAAUGCAUUGUUAUCCCCCUCCUCCCUGUGUAAAUACUUGUACAAUUGAUCUAUGUUUCUUUUAUAAAGAAGAAUUUUAUGGUGAUCCCCCAAAGAGGGAGACUGCGGAGUAGUGAAAGGAUGUGAGAUGUGCCCAGCCCCAUGUUAGACACUUCUUCUUGAUAUGCACUCAUAGAUUGAUAAGAACCUAAUGGGUAUAAGCAGUAUGGCAGAAACACCACUUGCCCUUCCAGAAGCUAUGCGGAGUGAGUAUUGUAAUGCUUCACACUACGAGGCCGUCACUGUCUAGUGGUUGAUUUUCAGAUCAGAUUUUCAGACUUAUGUAUUUUCUGUCAAGUCUUAUAGCUGCAGGCACGAGUCAGUACAUUUUAGUUGUUGCUGUCUGUGUUUCAUUUGACAUCUGUUCUAACUGCUAACAGACCUACGUUCAGCUGGACAAAAAGUUCAGAGGCAAAAGGAGAGUUUUAUUUCCAUUCCAUAUGUUACUCUUAAGAGAUCUAACUACUGAAACUGUUUUCCUUGACAGUGAGAUUUGUCCUACAUGUACGACACUCACCAUUUAAGAAACAGCCCGGGUGUCAUUUCUCAGGAAAGGAGUAGGUUUCUUGAUGGUGACACUGCAGUCUUACAAUCACAGCAGUCAUAGAAGCUGAUUGGUUCUUCAGUUCUAAGCAAUUCCGUUAACUGCGUAAAGGAGAAUUCCAAUCAAUCAUUUGGUAUUAGUUUCAUUAGUCCACUGUUGAUGCAGUUCCACAAUGUUUUGCAUGUCAGCCAUCAAGUUUUCAACAUAGAACUUUCAAAAUACAGAAAGUGUCACAGUAUGAUGUGCUUUGCAAGCUAACUGUUGGUUGGAUGUUAAAUCAUCAUGUACACAGGAGUAGACGUCCUAGGUUGAAGUUUGGACCAAGAGAUACACCAGAUGAGAUGUACAGAAGCUAGGCUGUUAGAUAUCGAAGGAAAUGUGUGUGUGUGUGUGUGUGUGUGUGUGUGUGUAUAUAUAUAUAUAUAUAGUACUGUAUUUCAGUGGUCAAAUGAUCAUGUUUCUUUCUACCAGUGAGUCUUUUUUCCCCCAGUCUUUUCUUUUAUACUCUAUUUUUAUCCUCCACUUAGUCAUGCUUUUAUUCCAGAACAUGUCCUGAACAUUGUUUUGCCUCCUGGUUGACUGGAUUGCUGCCUCAGGAGCAUGCCACUCAUUUGAAAACUGUAUAUAUUAAAAUGAGACCUCUUCUA